AAAAAACUAAACAAAAUGGUCUUAUGGUCUCGUUCUGUGGUCUCGUUGCCGAGAAGUUCUCUUGAUAAUUUCCUGUGCUACUUUGUUAGAAUUUGUAGCUUACAAGUUCACCGUGCGAGAGCGUCGACAUUCUACUGUAAAAACUUCCAGAGCCAUUGUGUGUUUUGGAUAGAGCCGAUAUGAUAAAAAGUUUGUGGAUAAUGUUCGUUGAUAAAUUGCAAUGUGUGAAUGCUGAUCGACUUUGUCAUACUAACUCAUACUCAUACUAAGAGAUGUAAGCAACAAUAACAAGUUUCCUGAAGAAUGUUCCAAUCGGACAGUUGGAAACAAUUAUGUCUGUAUAAGUUGUGGAAUAUCUUUGGGAAAGCAGUCACGAAGAUAAAAUCACAGGCCAUGGGCUUAUGGAAAGAAGUGAAGAGUGGUAUUAUAUAGAAAAACAAUCUCCGAGAUAGAUGCCUGAUGGAUGCCCAUGUAUGCAUUGUUUGCAGGAUGAGCUCACCUCAAAAGCAUUAAUAUCUAGUGAACAUAAAAGCUGUGUUAGGUGUGUUGUUGCAAUGUAUAUAGUUCUGACGAUUGCUCCGCUGAACACCCAAAGUGUGCUCCUGGUGGUAGAACGGGUAAAUUCUAAUGCUCUGUUGUGCCCCUUUAGUGGUACAGAAGGGAAACUUUUGAGUUACCUGUCGUGCUCCUUUUAAGUUAUGAACACAUUGGAGGGACUACUAAAAUGAAAUAAGUACUUGAAAUAUUUGUUUUAAAUGUAUAAUGUUAAGUAUUUAAAGAAUAAAGAACAUGUGUUCCAUCCUUUGUAGGGGUAAAGUGGAACCAUAAAUAUAACGACAUAAGAUGUGCUCCACCAAACCACCAAAGGAGCACUACGGAUCAUACAAAAUUUACUCGUUCUACCACCAGGAGCACACUUUGGGUGUUCAGCGAAGCAGUCGUCAUAGUUCUA